rnacentral:lncRNA from 10 species
CUGUACUCUACAAUGUCAUUGAUGUGGCUCCAACAUCCAGUGACAGGGGUUUUCUUUGCAGGGAUUGGGGAUGAGGAUGGAGGAGGAUAGAGAGGAGGUGUGAUAAAACACACUGUUAUGUUAAAUAUACAUUUAGGUUUUAAGAUGAAACCCCAAUUUAACAAACAUUAAAUUGGGGAAAAUUAACUUCACAAUGGAGGACACAUGGACAAGAAUGAAGACUUUACUGAUCAAAACUGGGGGUAGGCCUGGUGCAGUGGCUUGCGCCUAUAAUCUCAGUGUUUUGAGAGUCCAAAGCGGCAGGGCUGCUUGAGGCUAGAAAUUUGCAACCAGCCUGGGCAACAAGGCAAGGCCCCAUCUCUACAGAAAAUUGAAAAAUCAGUUGAGCAUGGUGGCAUGCAUCUCCCGUCCUAGCUACUUGGGAGGCUGAGGGAAGAGGAUUGCUUGAGCCCAGGAGUUUGAGGCUACAGUGAGCUGAUUGUGCCACUGCACUCCAGCCUGCACAACAGAGGAAGACCCUUUCUGCAGAAAAAAAAACCAAAAAACUGUGGAUGAAAAUAUUUAUAAAUGUAGAUAGGAAAGACACAUAUAUUUAUGUAUUUACAUUAAAUAUAUUAUCAUGAAUUUGCAACGUGUUUGGAAAAGAGCCCAAUUAAUAAAUAUAUUCUUAAUAAAAUAUAAAGUGCAAAAAUAAAAUUAUAAGGCACAGUAACCAUUCACACAGCCCUCUGUAUUUCUUCAAAAUAUGUGAUCAGUGAAACAUUGAAACUAACUGUUCAAUGUUGUCUUUCCCACUGAGUAAUAAGCUUAAUGGGGAAGGAACCUCCAUGGUGGAUUCUCAAUAAGUAGAUAAUUAUUCAUAAUUAAACAUGAUUAAUGAGAGACUAAUAAAAAAGUAAGAAACUAUUCUAAACUGAUUGAAGAUCUCAAUGAAAGGAACUCUCUUAUAGGAGAACAUAAACUGAAAAACUGCUUCAAGAAGACGGAGAGGAAGUGAAGGCAAUCUGGCUGCAACAUGUGUCACCAGGGUGGAUUGGGCUGAUCUGGCUGGCUAGCUAGAUGUCCCCUUCAUCCCUCACUGCUCCAUGUGCAUCUCUCCCAAAGCUGCACACUCAGUCCAAGAGGACAGCCAACCCCAGUAGAAGAGGACUGGUCUUCAGUCAAACCUACGUGAGUAAUUAUGCUCCCCUGCUAAAACCUCCAAACAAGCUCUUAAGAUGAUGGAGGAAGGCACAACAGGCCAUUAACAAUAAAACACAUUGAAUAGUUAGGCAAAAAAUUUCCUCCAAAAAAUAAAUCAGACUCUAAUAAUUGUACAAGUGUUUUGUCAAAUCAUGAAGAAGCAGAUAAUUUUCACUUGUUUAAAAUGUUCCAGAACACAGAAAUCAUUUGGGAAAAUGUCCAGUUAAUUUUACAAGUGGCUAAAGCACCAAAAACAAAACGUAAAAAGGGAGGCAAACGUGUUUUAAUUGCUUCUUUUUUGCCCCAUUGGUGAGGGAGGAAUUCCUGCCCUAAGGUUAUGGGGAGGGCCAAGUGCAUGACACAUGGUGCUGGGCAGAGGGGAACGUUUAUUAGUCACCUACACCCACAGCCUGGGGAGGAGGACGCUGCACUCCAUGGAAGGUCACGUGGGGCUGCACUUGGAACAGACUGAACAACAAGGGCUGUGGAGAAGACUUUGUAGUAUCAAGAGGAUGAGGUGCCCCUGUUCCCAUGGGAGGGUGUGAUUGGCCUGUUUGAACGAUUCCACGAGAUGGCAGAAGACUGAAAUCUUCUACUCAGGAAUAAGCAGACACUGCUUCAUCCCAGUGAAAAGGAAGGUUGUCAAUUUUACCAGAUGUCAAGACAGCAUAUAAUAGUGACCCUUUUUAGGUCUUACACUACAGUAUGUCUAGGGACAACACA